CCGAAUGCUUGAGGUUGAGCUGGCAUGCAGGUGCUCACCUCUUUCAUCCACUUUACACCUGUGCACUUGUUGGGGAGUAAUCCCUGUCUUUACACACUCUUUAAAUUUAAUGAAUGUCUUUUUUAUGUGAUAACACGCAUAUAUA
rnacentral:misc_RNA from 1 species